UGAUCAGCAUGCCGCGUGUGUGAGAAGCCUUCGGGUUGUAAAGCUGUUUCUAUACGGAGGAAAGGUUGUCUGUUAGUACCUUGUAGCUGGGACUGUACCAAUAAAGAAAGCACCGGUUAACUCCGUGCCCCCCGCCGCGGUAAUAGAGACGGUGCUUGCGUUAAUCCGAAUUACUGGGCGUAACCCGCGCGUAGGCGGUUAUUUAAAUCUGAUGUCAAAUCCCCGGGCUCAACCUGUGAAUUGCAUUUGAUACUGCUUGGCUUAAGUGUGGUAGAGGUGAAUGGAAUUUGAAGUGUAGCGAUGAAAUGCGUAUAGAUCUGAAAGAACAUCCGUGGCGAAGGCGACUCACUGGGCCAUUACUGACUCUAAGGUGCCAAGGCGUGGGUAGCAGACAAGAUUACAUACCCUGGCACUCCACGCCCUAAACGAUGUCAACUAGGUGUAUGGAGAAUUUAUUCUUUGUGUAUCGAAGCUAACGCGAUAAGUUGACCGCCUGGGGAGUACGGUCGCAAGACUAAAAACUCAAAGGAAUUUGACGG
rnacentral:rRNA from 1 species